rnacentral:rRNA from 1 species
AUACGUAGGGGGCGAGCGUUGUCCGGAAUUAUUGGGCGUAAAGGGUUCGUAGGCGGUCUUUUAAGUCAGAUGUGAAAGGUCACGGCUCAACCGUGGUAAGCAUUUGAAACUGAGAGACUUGAGUUAAGGAGAGGAAAGUGGAAUUCCUAGUGUAGCGGUGAAAUGCGUAGAUAUUAGGAGGAAUACCAGUGGCGAAGGCGACUUUCUGGACUUAAACUGACGCUGAGGAACGAAAGCGUGGGGAGCAAACAGGAUUAGAUACCCUGGUAGUCCACGCCGUAAACGAUGAGUGCUAGGUGUUGGGGGUCAAACCUCGGUGCCGCAGCUAACGCAUUAAGCACUCCGCCUGGGGAGUACGUACGCAAGUAUGAA